rnacentral:tRNA from 1 species
GUUAAUGUAGCUUAUCACAAAGCAAAGCACUGAAAAUGCUUAGAUGAGUAUUUAUACUCCAUAAACA